GAGGUGUCGGUUAAGUCCCAUAACGAGCGCAACCCUUAUCGUUAGUUGCCAUCUGGUAAUGCAGGGGACUCUAGCGAAACUGCCACCGUAAGGUGAGAGGAAGGUGGGGAUGACGUCAAAUCAGCAGGCCCUUAUGUCCAGGGCUACACACGUGUUACAAUGGUCGGUACAGAGGGCAGCUACCUGGUGACAGGAUGCUAAUCUCGAAAACCGGUCUCAGUUCGGAUCGAAGUCUGCAACUCGACUUCGUGAAGCUGGAUUCGCUAGUAAUCGCGCAUCAGCUAUGGCGCGGUGAAUACGUUCCCGGGCCUU
rnacentral:rRNA from 1 species